UUAUUAUUAUUUUUCUUUCUCCAGCGGAUGUGAGGGCCCUCUGACGAGCUUCUGUUGGAGUCAUUAACUAAAAUUACGAUGGGUGUUGGCGGUCACCUGAGGCUGGGACGACCGAGGGAAGGCCAGGUGUGACUCUUAUUGUGGGCAGCGGCAGUUCGUGUCUUUGGUAAUACAUGAGAUCAUACACCGACCACUUGUAUUAGACAACGCCUGCACAGAGAACACAGGAAGGUAGAUGCAGAGGAACCACAAAGAACGCAGGAAAGUAGACGAUGAAGAUGGAAGAUGGUAUGUCCGAGGCCUCAACACCUGCGAGAGAACAGCAGCGGAACAAUGAGGAUGCUGGACAGUAGAUGAUGAAGAACAAAUAACGGAAAAUAGAUGAAGAUGGAACGUCCAAGGCCUUGACACCUGCGAGAGAAUGAGGAUGCUGAAAAAUAGAUGAAGAAGAAGCACAGAAUGAAUGCAGGAAGGUAGAUGAUGAUGAACAAGAACAUCGGAAAAUAUAUGAAGAUGGAAUGUCUGAGGCCUCAACACCUGGGAGAGAACGGCAGCAGAACAAUGAGGAUGCUGGAGAACAGAUGAUGAAGAAGCAGAGAAUGAAUGCAGGAAGGUAGAUGAUGAUGAACAAAGAGUGUUGGAGAAUAGAUGAAGAUGGAACGUCUGAGGCCUCAACACCUGCAAGAGAACAGGGUCAAUAUUCUCAGACUCUUCCGCCUCACAGAGCGACUAUUUUCAAAGGCCGAAAAGGAGAUUAAGCAGCAGUAGUUGUAGAAGUUUGCGUUAGUGGUGAAGGACAAAGAAGAUAGGAAGAGGAGGAGGAGGGGCAUAGUAGUAGAAGUUUGCAUUAGAGGUGAAGGAUAAAGAAGAUAGGAAGAGAAGGAGACGCAACAGUAGUAGAUUAAGCGAAGUCUGAUGAAUGUUUUCUUUCUUUCAUGGCACAGAAGAAUGAUCAAACUACCAUCAUGGCCAUAAAACUACCCCUGGAAACGCCUACAACCCUGAUGAAAGCCUUGUCAAAUGUGUGUGCGCUUAGGCACCGAAAUGUUUGAGAAUGAAAUUAUGACCCCAGCAUCAGAACGAGAGGUCUUGGCGUGCAGCGGGCCAGCAAGGUUACCAGGGCACAGGAUCCACUCGGCCUGCAUGACGAGGUGAGAGAAUUAGUUUGUGGUGUUCCGUCGUAUUAAUUUUGUUUGCCAGUUUGCUCGCCAGUCCAAUUUGCUCUUGGGAAAAACUAGUCUGGAAAAUUAGAGAUACGAGCAGUGAUGGGAUUCAAAUUUUUUAAGAACAGGUUCUCUCUAUGAGGGGUUUACCAAAAUAAGUUCUUAGUAAAAGGUGUUCAUGGGGGAAAAAUUGAGAACCCCUGAUUUAAGCUCACAGUAACAACCGGUUCUCGGGAUUAAAGAAAUUCCAAGAACAGAUUCUUGCAAACCGGUGCGAACCAGCUGAAUCCCAUCACUGGAUACGAGUCAUAAAACUAGCCAUUGCCAAAAUUAAAGAUUCGAGGAAAAGUUGGAGAUUAAAUUACAGUAACUACCUGUUGCUUAAAAUAGAGAUUAACACAGCUGCUCCUCAUCAGUAGGGUGGAGCAAUUUUUAGUAAGUUCAGGGGCCCAGUGAAAACUUGCACAAGUGAAUUAAGAUUGGUGUCUGGUUGCAUCCUCUUUUAACCACCCUCUCUCUCUCUCUCUCUCUCAUUAUUUUUUUUCUUUUCGUUGUUAGUCAUU